GGCACACACGUCUACUGUACUUAGGAGAGUGAUUAGUAACUAACUUCUUAAGUUUUAGCAGAAUUGUGACAGUGUUUAGGACUGAUAUAUACAGCCGCGAUUUAUCCUAUGGGCGGCAUGUAAAUUGCUUUCUAAGCUUCUAAGCUAUGGCUGCGGUUUAGAAGGGUAUAGCUGCCUAAGUUUCAAUCCUCGACGAUGCAAGUUUUGCAACAUGUAGGACUGUACGGCCCUUGAUAACCACAAUGUCAUCCCAUCUUAAAGAUGAAUGGCAACUCUUUAUAGUGCAUAUUUGACACAGUUGUCCAUCUCCAUGAUGAGAUGAUAUGGUGGAGAUCCAAAGCUGUUCAACUCUUUAUGGUGCAAAUCAGGCACCGCAGAGGUUUCCAACUCACAACUCACAGCUACGACCUAGCUAGCAGCAUAACGUUGC
rnacentral:lncRNA from 1 species